GCAAUAUGUAUGGUGAGUCUGUGGAAUCCGGAGCAUUGAGAAAACAGAACGCCCUUCUUUUCAAGGUCUGAGCCAGUGAGGAGGGCACACUAUCUUCAUGAAAGACAGGGGUCUAUGACAUUGGAUGAAGAAGCUCCAGAAGGGUGCACAAAACACCGAUGAGAGAGUAGGUGAAGUGCAGCCUGCCAGGCCUUCAGCAGGUGACAGCUCUGCGGGAUGUGGUCUCCACUGUUUCCGCAGCCUCUGGUGCUCUGUGCUGAGACUCCUUGUCCACAGUUCCUCCUCUGCAACCUAAACCUUGCACACGGUCUGAAGCGACUAUGUGCUGGGCCCAGGAAUACGUCUGCAAGAUCCAUGAUCUCCUUUCCUCUUUAAGAAUCAUGAUGGGCUGGGGGCACCUGUGAGGCUCAGUCGGUGAGGCAUCUGCCUUCAGCUCAGGUCGUGAUCUCGGGGUCCUGGGAUCAAGCCCUUCGUCAGGCUCCGAGCUCAGUGCAGAGGCGUCUUGGGAUUCUCUCUCCCUCUCUCUCUGCCCCUCUAACCCAUGCACUCUCUCCAUCUCUCUCUAAAAUGAAUAAAUAAAUCUUUAAAAUAUAUAAGUUAUUCAAUUCAUUUAAACUGAAGAAAAAGUUCACCCAUUUCUUCCACCCCCACCCCCACCAAUCUAGUCUGUCUAUGAUCUCGCUUGUUGCUCACAGAUAAGAGAAAUCAUCUGGUAUUUGUGUUUCUAUGUAUGACUUACUUCACUUAGGAUAACACCCUUGAAGUCCAUCCACGAUGGCAAGAUUUCCUUCUUUUUUAGCUGAGUAGUGUUCCAUUAUAUUUAUCCCACAUCUUCUUUAUCCAUUUGUCUGUCAAUGAGUGGAUUCUCAUUUUGGAGACUCGGCUACUGUAAAUAACGCUGCAGUGAACAUGGGCGUGCACAUACCGUUCUGAGUGAGGGGUUUGGUUUUCUUAAG
rnacentral:lncRNA from 1 species